GCUUCUGCAAACAGACUGGAGGUGUGGGGGAAAAGCCUCUCCUGACAGAUUCAGGAAGCGGUCGGUCUGAAGUUAGUCAUCAUCCUUCUGGGUUAAUAGCAUGAAUGUUUCAGACUUCUCAGGCUACGGAGUUUGCCUGAUGUCUGGUGGAAAUGCUUUGAUUCAACAGUUUUUGCUCCGUUUAAUGUUUUUAGAAGCUUUCUUAGUGCGUGUGCAGACUGGACACAUUGGCUCCACUUUAAGUGAACCAGAGUUGCGUUCCCCUCAUAAUCUGGAAAAAUGUUUUAAUCUGAAGACACCCCAGUGGACCCUGGUCCAAGACCAGGAACCGCUCUCUGACCCAUCUUUGGAGGUGGUUUUGGUUCCAAUCGGACUGAGCUUCGGUUUGCUCUGACAUUCCUGUCUGAAUACCAUCCUUUCCCGGAGCCGAACAACUGAACCACAACGGCCACCGUAGCCGAGUAGAAACGUAGCAACAGAUGAGUCACGGAGAAACACAAAGCAACGAUUGUCGUGUUAUCAAACAGGAAAA